rnacentral:rRNA from 1 species
CCUACGGGAGGCUGCAGUGGGGAAUAUUGGACAAUGGGGGGAACCCUGAUCCAGCCAUGCCGCGUGUGUGAAGAAGGCCCUCGGGUUGUAAAGCACUUUCAGUGAGGAAGAACGCCUGGUGGUUAAUACCCAUCAGGAAAGGCAUCACUCACAGAAGAAGCACCGGCUAACUCCGUGCCAGCAGCCGCGGUAAUACGGAGGGUGCGAGCGUUAAUCGGAAUUACUGGGCGUAAAGUGCGCGUAGGUGGCUUGAUAAGCCGGUUGUGAAAGCCCCGGGCUCAACCUGGGAACGGCAUCCGGAACUGUCAAGCUAGAGUGCAGGAGAGGAAGGUAGAAUUCCCGGUGUAGAGGUGAAAUGCGUAGAGAUCGGGAGGAAUACCAGUGGCGAAGGCGGCCUUCUGGACUGACACUGACACUGAGGUGCGAAAGCGUGGGUAGCAAACAGGAUUAGAUACCCUUGUAGUC